AAUUUGAUUGAAUGCAUGCAAAAUUUAAAACUUCUUCACGUAGCAUAUUGUGAAUCAGUGAAAGUAGCAUUUGAUCUUGGAGCAACAAAUGCUGGCGAAGACCAUGGCGCUGCAAGAACACUCCCUUCCUUAGACAAUUUGAAUCUUUACUGGUUACCAAACUUGACGCAUGUUUGGGCAAACUAUUCACCAGGAAUUCAAGGAUUUCAGAACCUAAGAUCUUUGGUAGUAUAUGGGUGUGACAGUUUGAGAAUUCUAUUCUCACCUAUUAUAGCCAAACUUCUUGUGAAACUGGAAGUACUACAUAUAAAAUAUUGUGGUGUGAUUGAAGCCAUUAUUGCUUGGGAACAAGAAGUAGAUGAUGAAGGGAUGAGAAAUACAAUCAUAUUUCCUCGGCUAACUGAAGUCAAACUCGAGGAUCUGCCAAAUCUUAUGAGUUUCUUCCUUCAGGCUUACACGAUUGAAGGAACAUUUUUGAAGCGUUUGGUACUUCAUAAGAUACCAAAGCUCAUUGGUCUAUGCCCUGCUUCAAAAAGUAAUUUUGAUACCCCCAUGCAUUCGCUUUUCAACAACAAGGUAUGUUUCUUCCAUCUAAGGCCUCAGUAGCUUCUUCGUUAAUUUUUGGAUGGUCAGUAAUUUUGGUUAUUAGUUUUCCGUUGUAAUUAAUUGCAUUUUCAGGUUAUAAUAUGUUUCCUUGAUAUUUACAUAGUUUCGUUUUGAGUUAUAUAAGUUGAAUAUUUGAUGCAACCAAAAUCAAUAUAGAGAACAUAAGAAGAAAGUCUUGAACAGGAUCCUCAACUUUGGCUCUAUCAAACCUUCAACGGUUGGUAGAACAUCACAAACAACAUCUUGCAUCUUUGUAAACAAGCUUAACACAUGACACCUCACAAUCUCGAAUUCAAACAGAACCGAAAUCGACGGUCAAAAUCCACCUUUGAGGAAACAUCAAAGAAUUGAACUUGAUUUGGGCUUAUAUGGUUGAUUUAAAGUUCGAUCUAUUCAAGAGUCGAAUUAAAGGUUCGAUUUGACUGAAACAUGUAGUCAAAGUUGAUUGGGGUUUGAAAUAACCUCCAUAAGGUUCUAAUGGAUCGAGUGAAGGUCCGAUUUGACUAGAUUUGAAUAAAUCGAACCAGAUUAGGGUUCGAAUUCGAAAUCCGUACUGUUGCGAGUGCGAUUACAGCUAUAAUUAGAAGAAAUCAAAGAAAUUGGGAGAAAAACAAGCUUCUGCUUUCCGUUAGGGUUCCGGUUGAUUCCGGCCAGUCUCCGUAAAAUAUUUACGAAUUGGAAGACCAAACAAAUCAAAACCCAAGCUUUGAUACCAAAUGAUGCAGUCAAAUAUCAAUAUAUUAAUUUCUAGAGAGAAAUUUUCAAUCUUGGGAACACGGGCCAAAGCUCAACAAUCUCUAUUUUCAAAAUAUCAACCAUCAUCUACCGGUUAUUAAAGACUCUAGACUCUUAUUUAUAGACCUAAAGAUGCAACUAAUUGCCAUAGACAACUCUGUUUUAGUUGGGUCAACUAAAAGCAAAACUCCCACUUUUUCAUUUUUACUACAUCAAUAUUUCUCAUUUUGCAUUUAUGUUGCCUAGCUAAUUUUAAAGUCAUCAUUUUUUAGGUGUGCAAAAAACAAGAAAAGCUAGUUUUAUUAUGAUUUCUCAAUAGAUGUAUUAGGAACUUUUUAACUACAUUCAAAUUCUAUUUAAUUAUUUUACUUUUUAACACAUUCAGUGAAAGUGGGAAAGUUUUUAUCUUGGUAGGAGUGAAAAUGGCAGUCAAUGGAAAAUGAAUGUAAAAAAAAUAGAUAUAGUAGGAAAGUGCAGGUGGUACUCCUACAAAAACUGUAAAACAUCUUGAUUUUUUAACCGUGAUCUUUAGCAAUAAAUUGCGGUUUGGAAAUCAUGGUCUAUCGGGGAGCGAUUGUUUAGGGCAAUAAUCGAUUACGGUUUUCAGCCGUAAUAAAAGAACCCAAAAAUACGAGAGUGGUAAUGUCAAAACAGUGAUUAAUAUUACAUCUCAGAUCACGAUUUUGUAGUUUUCCAUCACAAUUUUUGAUCGUGACGAACCUAUCAUGAAGAAUUGAACAUCAUAGUGUUUUGAAAAAAACAUGAUUAUUUAGUAAUUUGAUCUCAUUUUGUAGUCAAAAUACGUGAUCAUUUAAGAGUAAAGAUGUCAGUUUUGUUAUGACUCAGAUAUUUUUUGAUCAUAAAAAAUCAAUAUUCCUACAAUUUUUUCCUCAAUUAAUCUGUUUGCCAAAAUCUUCAUAAGAAUUUUGUAAAUACAAUCUACCAAACUGAUAGGCCUAAAGUCCUCUAAAGACAUGGCUCCUUCAACCUUUGGUAUUAAUGUUAAAAAGGUAGAAUUCAAGCCAUUCAAAAUCUUUGCAUUUGAGAAGAACUCGUCCAGAAACUACAUAAUAUCAUCAUUCAAGCAUCCCCAAAGUGUUAACGAUGUUAACCUUGAUUUCUGUCUCCACAAGAUCUCCUCCCAUCUAUUCGGCGCCCA
rnacentral:lncRNA from 1 species